AGUGAACGCUGGCGGCGUGCUUAACACAUGCAAGUCGAACGAGAACGGAUUAUAGCUUACUAUAAUUGUCAGCUAAGUGGCGCACGGGUGAGUAAUGUAUAGGUAAUAUGCCUCUUACUAAGGGAUAACAAAUGGAAACGUUUGCUAAUACCUUAUACUCCUUAUUAACAGAAGUUAAUAAGGGAAAGAUUUAUUGGUAAGAGAUUAGCCUGUAUUGUAUCAGUUAGUUGGUGGGGUAAUGGCUUACCAAGACUAUGACACAUAACUGGUUUGAGAGGAUGAUCAGUCACACUGGAACUGAGACACGGUCCAGACUCCUACGGGAGGCAGCAGUGGGGAAUAUUGCACAAUGGACGAAAGUCUGAUGCAGCAACGCCGCGUGGAGGAUGACACAUUUCGGUGCGUGAACUCCUUUUAUAUGAGAAGAUAAUGACGGUAUUAUAUGAAUAAGCACCGGCUAACUCCGUGCCAGCAGCCGCCGAAA
rnacentral:rRNA from 1 species